AUGAAGCUGAUGAGUCCCAAAUAGGACGAAACAGGCGUCCUGGAU
rfam:Schistosoma rodhaini strain Burundi genome assembly, scaffold: SROB_scaffold0000906